CAUAUUUAUUAACUUCAUUCAGAGGAUGGCAGAAGGGAUCAGGUUGUCUAAUCAAUGUUUACUGUGUCAUUCACUUAACAUGGUCACCAAACACUGCUCGAGGAGUCAGGUAACAGGGUCAGCUGAUCAGCAUCCUGCGCUAUGGACGCCGCGAGGUCACCCGCUUCGACUUCACCACCACCUACGGCUCCCGAAAUCAACACAGCUAGAGGUGAAAGUACUGGAUCUUUUACAGCACUGACGAUAGCAUCAACAAAGCCCUUCCCCAUAGCUGCUCCAACAAUAUGUACACAAUUCAACUACAUUGUACAAAUAAAAAAGUUACAUUGUUACAUCACCUGCAGCGAGCGCACUGUCUCGUUGCUGUUAGAACCCCACAUUCUACGCAAGUUUAGACUAGUACAAAGAGGAGGGUGCAAAACGUCCUGGGAUAUUUAUUUACAACUAUGUACAAUGUCUCRAACGCAUUACAGGAGGAAAAUUUACACAGCGGAGACCUUUAACUGAAACAUACCACAGGUGUCAGAAAMAUAAUAAAUAMGUUAUUUGURACCAUUUAAAGASUAGUUCUCCAUGCUUUAUUAGUCAUUUCCCAUUAUAAAGAAUAGCUACUGUCUUGUUCAAUAAAGAAAACUAGAAAAAGGCUUGAAAUUGUGAUUCUAUUAUGUAAAAUAACAGUAU